rnacentral:tRNA from 1 species
AGGGUAAUAGCUCAGUGGUAGAGCUCAUGCUGAGCAUGCAGGAGGUCCUGGGUUCAAUCCCCAGUACCUCCA